rnacentral:lncRNA from 1 species
UUUAUUGCAUCGAGAUUUGUGGUUUUUGGCCGUUCACCUAUUCACCCCCCUCUAGGUGAUAGAUACAAUCUAGAUAGAUCCUUGGGCUCUUCAAAACUUUCAUAUAUAUAUUGUCCGGCUAUGGUGCUUGUAAAAGCACCAAGCACUUGGUGCUUGUAAGUUUUUUACCGUUAGAUCUACUCCUCGGAUCAUUUUCAACCAUUAGAUUAUACUAUUCAACCAACCCACUCAACCCUAGGGGACCCACAUCAUCCUAACCGCAUAUCUCUUAAUCCAAUGGCUAAAAAUCUACAAGCAUCAAUAACUUGAUACUUUUAAAAGCAUAGGAGCUCAAUUAUAUAUAUAUAUAUAUAUAUAGUAGGGCUAUUAUACUAUUAUGAGUAUUGGGCCCUUCGCACUCAUAAGUUGUUUUCGAUUAUGGAGCUUCCGAAUCGACGAUCCACUCCAUUAAAUAUGAUCUAAAGUAUUUGAAACUUCUAGAAAAUAAAUUUCGUAAUUUUUCGAAACCAUAAUAAAGUCCAUCAAGCGGGCAUAAAAUGAACGGUCAAAAUCGAACGAUGUCUUAAAAAUGGAUGAUCAGAUCCUCCAAUUUAAGAUUGGAGUUAUUGACCUUUAUCUAGGUAGUGAAUAGAAUUUUCUAUCAAAAAUUCAACCUAUUCGGAUUCUUUUGCACCGUUAAACUAGCAAGUAUUUCAUACCGGUCAUUAAAAAUUGUCAAUUUUGUGAGCUUUUGAUCGUAAGGUAAAUGAUGUCGAAAAAUUAUGAAAUUUGAUUUCUAAAUGUUUUAAAUGCUCUAGAUAACGUUUAAUGGUUGUGUAUCGUUGAUUCGGAAGUUCUAUCAUCGAAAAUAACUUAUGAGGUCAAGGACAAUCGUACGCAUAAUAGUAUAGUAGCCACACAUCAGCAGAACC